AUUGAACGCUGGCGGCAGGCCUAACACAUGCAAGUCGAGCGGAUGAAGGGAGCUUGCUCCUGGAUUCAGCGGCGGACGGGUGAGUAAUGCCUAGGAAUCUGCCUGGUAGUGGGGGAUAACGUCCGGAAACGGGCGCUAAUACCGCAUACGUCCUGAGGGAGAAAGUGGGGGAUCUUCGGACCUCACGCUAUCAGAUGAGCCUAGGUCGGAUUAGCUAGUUGGUGGGGUAAAGGCCUACCAAGGCGACGAUCCGUAACUGGUCUGAGAGGAUGAUCAGUCACACUGGAACUGAGACACGGUCCAGACUCCUACGGGAGGCAGCAGUGGGGAAUAUUGGACGCUGGGCGAAAGCCUGAUCCAGCCGUGCCGCGUGUGUGAAGCAGGUCUUCGGAUUGUAAAGCACUUUAAGUUGGGAGGAAGGGUAGUAAGUUAAUACCUUGCUGUUUUGACGUUACCAACAGAAUAAGCACCGGCUAACUUCGUG
rnacentral:rRNA from 1 species